GCGGAGGAAAAGAAACUAACAAGGAUUCCCCUAGUAACGGCGAGUGAAGCGGGAAGAGCUCAAAUUUGUAAUCUGGCACUUUCAGUGUCCGAGUUGUAAUCUCGAGAAGUGUUUUCCGCGCCGGACCGCAUACAAGUCUGUUGGAAUACAGCGUCAUAGUGGUGAGAGCCCCGUAACUGAUGCGGAUGCCCGGUGCUUUGUGAUACACUUUCGAAGAGUCGAGUUGUUUGGGAAUGCAGCUCAAAUUGGGUGGUAAAUUCCAUCUAAAGCUAAAUAUUGGCGAGAGACCGAUAGCGAACAAGUACCGUGAGGGAAAGAUGAAAAGCACUUUGGAAAGAGAGUUAACAGUACGUGAAAUUGUUGGAAGGGAAACGCUUGAAGUCAGACUUGCUAUUCGGAAUUCAGCCGCAAGGUGUACUUUUCGAUUUGCAGGCCAGCAUCAGUUUUUGGGGGUGGAAAAGGGUGGAGAGAAGGUAGCAACCCCGGUUGUGUUAUAGCUCUUCACUGGAUUCAUCUUCGGGGACUGAGGAUCGCAGCGCGCUUUAUUGCAAGGCUCUCGAGCUUUUCGCGCUUAGGAUGCUGGUGGAAUGGCUUUAAACGACCCGUCUUGA
rnacentral:rRNA from 1 species